AUGUACAUUCCUAUAGAAUAUCAUUAUUUCAAUAGAUUCAAUUAGAACUCUGCAUUUAAGCAUGCUCAGAUUAGAGUAGUAUUGGGAUGGGUGACCGCCCGGGAAGCCCUAGUGUUUUACAUG
rfam:Picea glauca, whole genome shotgun sequence.